UAGACAGAAUACCAACAGGGUGGGCAGU
rnacentral:piRNA from 1 species